CUACGGGCGGCAGCAGUGGGGAAUUUUGGACAAUGGACGCAAGUCUGAUCCAGCCAUUCCGCGUGCAGGAUGAAGGCCCUCGGGUUGUAAACUGCUUUUGUACGGAACGAAAAGGUUUCUAUUAAUACUAGGAGCUCAUGACGGUACCGUAAGAAUAAGCACCGGCUAACUACGUGCCAGCAGCCGCGGUAAUACGUAGGGUGCAAGCGUUAAUCGGAAUUACUGGGCGUAAAGCGUGCGCAGGCGGUUAUAUAAGACAGAUGUGAAAUCCCUGGGCUCAACCUGGGAACUGCAUUUGUGACUGUAUAGCUAGAGUACGGUAGAGGGGGAUGGAAUUCCGCGUGUAGCAGUGAAAUGCGUAGAUAUGCGGAGGAACACCGAUGGCGAAGGCAAUCCCCUGGACCUGUACUGACGCUCAUGCACGAAAGCGUGGGGAGCAAACAGGAUUAGAUACCCCCGUAGUC
rnacentral:rRNA from 1 species